GACGAACGCUGGCGGCGUGCUUAACACAUGCAAGUCGAACGGAAAGGCCCUGCUUUUGUGGGGUGCUCGAGUGGCGAACGGGUGAGUAACACGUGAGUAACCUGCCCUUGACUUUGGGAUAACUUCAGGAAACUGGGGCUAAUACCGGAUAGGAGCUCCUGCUGCAUGGUGGGGGUUGGAAAGUUUCGGCGGUUGGGGAUGGACUCGCGGCUUAUCAGCUUGUUGGUGUGGUAGUGGCUUACCAAGGCUUUGACGGGUAGCCUGCCUGAGAGGGUGAACGGCCACAUUGGGACUGAGAGACGGACCAGACUCCUACGGGAGGCAGCAGUGGGGAAUAUUGCACAAUGGGCGGAAGCCUGAUGCAGCAACGCCGCGUGCGGGAUGACGGCUUUCGGGUUGUAAACCGCUUUCGACUGUGACGAAGCGUGAGUGACGGUAAUGGGUAAAGAAGCACCGGCUAACUACGUG
rnacentral:rRNA from 1 species